GACGAACGCUGGCGGCGUGCUUAACACAUGCAAGUCGAACGGAAAGGCCCUGCUUUUGUGGGGUGCUCGAGUGGCGAACGGGUGAGUAACACGUGAGUAACCUGCCCUUGACUUUGGGAUAACUUCAGGAAACUGGGGCUAAUACCGGAUAGGAGCUCCUGCUGCAUGGUGGGGGUUGGAAAGUUUCGGCGGUUGGGGAUGGACUCGCGGGUUAUCAGCUUGUUGGUGGGGUAGUGGCUUACCAAGGCUUUGACGGGUAGCCGGCCUGAGAGGGUGACCGGCCACAUUGGGACUGAGAUACGGACCAGACUCCUACGGGAGGCAGCAGUGGGGAAUAUUGCACAAUGGGCGGAAGCCUGAUGCAGCAACGCCGCGUGCGGGAUGACGGCCUUCGGGUUGUAAACCGCUUUCGCCUGUGACGAAGCGUGAGUGACGGUAAUGGGUAAAGAAGCACCGGCUAACUACGUG
rnacentral:rRNA from 1 species